UAUAUAUAUAUGUAUAUAAGACCAUGUAUGUAUAUACGAUAUGACGUGUACUGCAUUUGUGGAAAGGGAAUAGCAACAGCUGGCGCAUUAGAAUAUAUACAUGACAUUGAACUUUUGUUCAUAUCCUUGGCCCACAUCAAGGCUACAAAGCUGGUAAUAGGCAGCUGAGCUACACAGUAUUUUAUGGUUCGGCAAAGCAAGACAAAAAUGUGUUGGCAAAGCACAGCCGGUUUAUACGGCGACUUGUAUUUUAGAUUUGAUGUUUAUGCGGUGUGACGAUACUUCAAAAUAUCAUGUGAAUAUCAAUUUUACUGCAACUCUCCUUCGUUGUGAAUAAAAUUGCAGUUAUAAAAUUUAAGGAGACACCGUUAAAAUUGAUUAGCUACAUAGACCUGCUCGAUGUACAACGAAUUUAAUGCGAUUUUCAAUAA